UGUUAUUUAUCCACGCGGUGGAAACGUUUUGAAGUAAACUCGUAGUGUUAUACGUAUAGGUAUGCAUAAUGCAUAAGUUGAUUACCGAUUCUUUGAUAAUUGGAUUAAACAAUGAAAUCAGGACAGGUCACUGUAUCCGCUAUUGUGGAAUUCGCAAUGGCGACAGGCUUGACGACUCGUCGUCAAUGUAAUCGAAUUACGAUAAUGGCAAUGAAGAAAAACCUCUCUGUGUAAUUCAAUCCCAGCAUCGUUUUGACCGGUCUGUGUUGACGUAGUUUAAAAAUAAUCCAAUUACGCCAUACAAAUAGAGGAAAGUGAGCGAACGAGCGAGAGAGAAAGAGAGAAACAGAAAGAGAGAGAGAGAUGAUUCGAAUAAUUCAAUCAAUUUACUCAGAAUUUUCGAUAUACAACAAUCCUCGAAAAAAUUCCUGACGUGCGUGACAACGAGUAUUUGUUGUAUUCGGGUUCCGGGAUGCGUUAAAAGGACCAAAGUUUUACAUUAAAGGUCUGUCGAAUUUCGUUAAACAAUCGAAAACGAUUAGCAGACAUAUCCUGCUCGAAAUUCCGUAUCGUAUAUAGUUAUUGAUCGCGACAAGUAAAUAUAGUCGUUGAGAAAAAUAAUUUAAACGGAAAAGAAAAGAGUUUUUAUGCGCCAAGUUGAUAAUCGUCGUCAAGUUACGGGCCUUUUUAAUUCAAUUUCGACAAAUCAUCAGUACACGAGCUUCGCACAAGCGAAGCUGUGAACCGAUGGACUAUAGAUACAAAAAUAGAGAUAUAUAAAAAGUCGGAAAAAAAAUUUAUUCGCAGGCAGAACUGCUGACACGCUGCAUAUCCUAUUAAUUGUAUACACACUUAUAUACUUUAAGUUUAUGACAAAUGUUUGUUUAUUAUUAUUAUUACUACUAUUAUUAUUAUUAUUAUUAUUAUCAUUAUUGUUAAUGAAUCUAUUAUAAUUAUUAUACAAUAACGAGUCUAUUUACAAUACCGUUUAAAUUUUCUUAUUUUUCUUUCAUACCUUUCCCAUGUCGCGCAUUACGUUUGCAUUACGUUAUUAUUAUAUAUAUAUAUAUACAUAUAUAGACAUAGAUAUCAUGUCAUACAUAUUUACAACUACGAUAUGUACAAUCGUGAAUUAUUAUUUUGUUUUCUGCUUUUUUUUUACCGCUUUGCCAAGGUCUCGAUGAAUUUACAAGAGAGAUUAUGAGAAUUUUUAUCGUGCAACAAAAUUUUAUCAUAA